UACAGAGGUGGCAAGCGUUGUUCGGAAUUACUGGGCGUAAAGGGCGCGUAGGCGGCCUUCUAAGUCAGACGUGAAAUCCCCCGGCUUAACCUGGGAACUGCGUCUGAUACUGGAGGGCUUGAGUAUGGGAGAGGGAUGUAGAAUUCCAGGUGUAGCGGUGAAAUGCGUAGAUAUCUGGAGGAACACCGGUGGCGAAGGCGGCAUCCUGGACCGACACUGACGCUGAGGAGCGAAAGCCAGGGGAGCAAACGGG
rnacentral:rRNA from 1 species